rnacentral:rRNA from 1 species
GACGAACGCUGGCGGCGUGCUUAACACAUGCAAGUCGAACGGAAAGGCCUGCUUUCCCUUGUGGAUUGCGGGUACUCGCGUGGCGAACGGGUGAGUAACACGUGAGUGAUCUGCCCCCAACUUGGGUAUAAGCCUGGGAAACUGGGUCUAAUUCCCGAUAGGACUGCAGGGUGGUGCCUGUGGUGGCAGACGAUUUUCUAGUGGUUGGGGAUGAGCUCGCGGCCUAUCAGCUUGUUGGUGGGGUAAUGGCCUACCAAGGCGGGGACGGGUAGGCGGCCUGGGGGAGUGGACGGGAACAGUGGGACGGAGAUACGGCGCAGACUACUACGGGAGGCAGCAGUGGGGAAGAAGACACGAUGGGCGGAAGCCUGAGGCAGCGACGCCGCGUGGGGGAUGACGGGCGUCGGGUUGUAACCUCCGUGCGACCGCGAGGAAGCCACCUGGUUGGAAGGGUGGUGACGGUAGUGGUAGAAGAAGCACCGGCUAACUACGUG